rnacentral:tRNA from 1 species
GGCUCUGUGGCUUAGUUGGCUAAAGUGCCUGUCUCAUAAACAGGAGAUCGUGUUGUAAACAGGAGAUCGUGGGUUUGAAUCCCAGUGGGGCCU